rnacentral:rRNA from 1 species
CUUACGGGCGGUGUGCUAUAAUGCAAGUCGAACGCGUUGGCCCAAUUGAUUGAUGGUGCUUGCACCUGAUUGAUUUUGGUCGCCAACGAGUGGCGGACGGGUGAGUAACACGUAGGUAACCUGCCCAGAAGCGGGGGACAACAUUUGGAAACAGAUGCUAAUACCGCAUAACAGCGUUGUUCGCAUGAACAACGCUUAAAAGAUGGCUUCUCGCUAUCACUUCUGGAUGGACCUGCGGUGCAUUAGCUUGUUGGUGGGGUAACGGCCUACCAAGGCGAUGAUGCAUAGCCGAGUUGAGAGACUGAUCGGCCACAAUGGGACUGAGACACGGCCCAUACUCCUACGGGAGGCAGCAGUAGGGAAUCUUCCACAAUGGGCGCAAGCCUGAUGGAGCAACACCGCGUGAGUGAAGAAGGGUUUCGGCUCGUAAAGCUCUGUUGUUAAAGAAGAACACGUAUGAGAGUAACUGUUCAUACGUUGACGGUAUUUAACCAGAAAGUCACGGCUAACUACGUGCCAGCAGCCGCGGUAAUACGUAGGUGGCAAGCGUUAUCCGGAUUUAUUGGGCGUAAAGAGAGUGCAGGCGGUUUUCUAAGUCUGAUGUGAAAGCCUUCGGCUUAACCGGAGAAGUGCAUCGGAAACUGGAUAACUUGAGUGCAGAAGAGGGUAGUGGAACUCCAUGUGUAGCGGUGGAAUGCGUAGAUAUAUGGAAGAACACCAGUGGCGAAGGCGGCUACCUGGUCUGCAACUGACGCUGAGACUCGAAAGCAUGGGUAGCGAACAGGAUUAGAUACCCUGGUAGUCCAUGCCGUAAACGAUGAGUGCUAGGUGUUGGAGGGUUUCCGCCCUUCAGUGCCGGAGCUAACGCAUUAAGCACUCCGCCUGGGGAGUACGACCGCAAGGUUGAAACUCAAAGGAAUUGACGGGGGCCCGCACAAGCGGUGGAGCAUGUGGUUUAAUUCGAAGCUACGCGAAGAACCUUACCAGGUCUUGACAUCUUGCGCCAACCCUAGAGAUAGGGCGUUUCCUUCGGGAACGCAAUGACAGGUGGUGCAUGGUCGUCGUCAGCUCGUGUCGUGAGAUGUUGGGUUAAGUCCCGCAACGAGCGCAACCCUUGUUACUAGUUGCCAGCAUUAAGUUGGGCACUCUAGUGAGACUGCCGGUGACAAACCGGAGGAAGGUGGGGACGACGUCAGAUCAUCAUGCCCCUUAUGACCUGGGCUACACACGUGCUACAAUGGACGGUACAACGAGUCGCGAACUCGCGAGGGCAAGCAAAUCUCUUAAAACCGUUCUCAGUUCGGACUGCAGGCUGCAACUCGCCUGCACGAAGUCGGAAUCGCUAGUAAUCGCGGAUCAGCAUGCCGCGGUGAAUACGUUCCCGGGCCUUGUACACACCGCCCGUCACACCAUGAGAGUUUGUAACACCCAAAGUCGGUGGGGUAACCUUUUAGGAGCCAGCCGCCUAAGGUGACAGAUUGGG